rnacentral:misc_RNA from 1 species
CGUGUAAAAGGCCUCAUACAGGUAAGUUGUUCACCAUACAAAAACUGGUUGUUCCUAGUGCUCUUAAUCAUCAUCAGCACCAUCAUCUUUCUUUUCCUUUAGAAAGGGGAAGUUGUAAAUUGUCAUGGCUGCUUAUAGUUAUAUUAUUGCCAUCUUCUAGAGAUGGCAGGUUGAAAUGGGAUUAAGGCUUAAGAGAUUGUGAUAGUAGGAAUUACGAUUAUUAUGCUGAAAAAAUGUACAGGACAUUGAAUUGGGAUACACUUGAGUAUAAUUAUGCAAUAUUGGCAUCUCAAAUUAGAGCACUAUGUGUG